rnacentral:rRNA from 1 species
AUUGAACGCUGGCGGCAGGCCUAACACAUGCAAGUCGAGCGGAUGAAGGGAGCUUGCUCCUGGAUUCAGCGGCGGACGGGUGAGUAAUGCCUAGGAAUCUGCCUGGUAGUGGGGGAUAACGUCCGGAAACGGGCGCUAAUACCGCAUACGUCCUGAGGGAGAAAGUGGGGGAUCUUCGGACCUCACGCUAUCAGAUGAGCCUAGGUCGGAUUAGCUAGUUGGUGGGGUAAAGGCCUACCAAGGCGACGAUCCGUAACUGGCCUGAGAGGAUGAUCAGUCACACUGGAACUGAGACACGGUCCAGACUCCUACGGGAGGCAGCAGUGGGGAAUAUUGGACAAUGGGCGAAAGCCUGAUCCAGCCAUGCUGCGUGUGUGAAGAAGGUCUUCGGAUUGUAAAGCACUUUAAGUUGGGAGGAAGGGCAGUAAGUUAAUACCUUGCUGUUUUGACGUUACCAACAGAAUAAGCACCGGCUAACUUCGUG